UGCUCAGGACGAACGCUGGCGGCGUGCUUAACACAUGCAAGUCGAACGGUGACGGCAGAGCUUGCUCUGCCUGAUCAGUGGCGAACGGGUGAGUAACACGUGAGUAACCUGCCCCUCACUUCGGGAUAACCUCGGGAAAUCGUGGCUAAUACCGGAUACGAGACCUGACUGCAUGGUCGGGUCUGGAAAGAUUUAUCGGUGGGGGAUGGACUCGCGGCCUAUCAGCUUGUUGGUGAGGUAACGGCUCACCAAGGCGACGACGGGUAGCCGGCCUGAGAGGGCGACCGGCCACACUGGGACUGAGAUACGGCCCAGACUCCUACGGGAGGCAGCAGUGGGGAAUAUUGCACAAUGGGCGAAAGCCUGAUGCAGCGACGCCGCGUGAGGGAUGAAGGCCUUCGGGUUGUAAACCUCUUUCAGCAGGGAAGAAGCGAAAGUGACGGUACCUGCAGAAGAAGCGCCGGCUAACUACGUGCCAGCAGCCGCGGUAAUACGUAGGGCGCAAGCGUUGUCCGGAAUUAUUGGGCGUAAAGAGCUCGUAGGCGGUUUGUCGCGUCUGGUGUGAAAACCCAAGGCUCAACCUUGGGCUUGCAUCGGGUACGGGCAGACUAGAGUGCGGUAGGGGUGACUGGAAUUCCUGGUGUAGCGGUGGAAUGCGCAGAUAUCAGGAGGAACACCGAUGGCGAAGGCAGGUCACUGGGCCGCAACUGACGCUGAGGAGCGAAAGCAUGGGUAGCGAACAGGAUUAGAUACCCUGGUAGUCCAUGCCGUAAACGUUGGGCACUAGGUGUGGGGCUCAUUCCACGAGUUCCGUGCCGCAGCAAACGCAUUAAGGCCCCCCCCCUGGGAU
rnacentral:rRNA from 1 species